ensembl:lncRNA
AAAAUCCCUAACAAAGCAAUUUCUUUUUAAAUUAGGACAUUUUAAAAUUGAUGGGCUCUUUUCAGCCCGUGAAAGUCAGCACUGUUAGCUCCCCAAGCACUUCACAAUCCUUGAAGAUACCGCUGAAGGCAGAGCAAAUUUUAAACGUGUCCCUGGUGGAUAUGCAAUACAGUUACAAAUGCAGAAAGUGUCUGAGCAGAGCUCCUGCAUGGAAAAGAAGUGUCAAGCAGAGAGCAAGAUCCUGAGACACAGAGCUUGUUUAAUUUCUGCUCGAUCCCCAGCAGAUGUGAGAGUGACAGAUGGAGAAGUAUUCAGUGACUCUUGGAAGCCUUUAAGAGACAACAGAUGCCUCCUAACUGUAGAUGAAUUUCUCAGAGGUGCAGAACAAAAGGACAAAAGAGAACAAGGAGCCAGCCCUGCUUUAUCAAGGUACUGAUGCAAACUGGAGCUGCAAAGGCAGAGCAGGCUGUGCUUGGGACGCCUGCAAACAUAAAAGAAGAUGCAGAGAAGGAAUGGACAAAGAAGUGAACCCGGGGACACAAUGUGCCUCGGGAAAUGCUGCCAGCUGUCUGCCCCUGUCCUAUCCUGCCCUGCCACAGUCCUGCUCCGUAUUCCCAAGUGCUCAUUUGACUCAUGCAAAAACUUUUGUCUUUACCCCUUAUGGCUAUUUAAGACUUAAAUGUUGAACAGCAGUUCUGGUUCAGAUAUUUAUCUUCUCAGCUAUAAAUAAAAUAGGGAUACUUGCUGUGUAGAGAAAAGGUUUAGAUUAUAUAGGCAGACCUUCUGUUUGGUAAAAACACAAAAAAUGUUGGGUAAAGAAUAGCUGUUAAUCCUGUAAAUGAGAUAAUGUACAGAGAUAAUCUAGGUGUGUGUGUAUGUACAUUUGUGUGUAAUCCCACUGCAGCCCUCCACUGGGACCAGACUCCUUUGCAGUCUUACAGUAACUCUAUUGGAAUGAGAAAACAAUGGGAAGUAUUGUUUUCUAGCAAUAUUUUAGCACAGUAAAGUAAAUACUUCAGCAAGUAUUUACUAGCAGGAAUACUAUUACCAUGUUUAAUGAAAUUGUGAUCAGUAAAUGGAGCCAGCUGCAAACAUCUUGUUGGUUUUUUUUUCCUGAAAAUACCUGAAUGCCUUGGUAUAUGCUUUAUCCUUCAACAAAAAAAUAUCUAUUUUUAAGGCUACAAAUAGCUGUGGGGCAUAGGAGACCCUGAGGGCUGUGCUGCGAUAAAAAUUAUAUAUAAAAUGUUAGUGAAAACUAUAAAACUUCACUUCCAGCAUGGAGGUCUAAUAUUUUUAAGUGCCUUGGGGUGUGAGAAAGGAAUCUGAAUCUCAGAAAUGCUAUCAGAAAUAUUUAGGAUAUGUGGUUAUUGCCUGUUGUGUGUUAACAAUAAGUGGGCUGUUGAAUAAUUGUCCUAAACUCUAAUGGUGUUCUGUGCUGGACAGAAGGGCUGAGAGAUGAUCAUCAAGGGAUGUUCAUCAAGGGAUGCUGAUCGAGGGAUGCACAUUCAGGGAUGAUAAGGGGUCCCAGUGCCCAGCUCCUCCACCAGCAAGGAUUGUUUUCUGUCUGCUCAGGGAUAAAUGGCCGAGAGAGGAUUUUCUCCACCUUCUUUCUAGCAUGAAACUGCCCAGUGGCCAGGUGUGGAAGUGGCCUUUGGAACAGGAACCUAUGUGUCCCAGCACUGUGGGAGAAAUACCUCUGGGAACUCCAGACGUCUAACACUAAUGUUCUCUGGAGGGGCAAAUCUCUAUUGACUGCGGAGGGAAAUCAGGAUCUCUAAUGGAGGGGCUUUAAACUGUACGUUAGUUAAACUUCUCUGGUCAGUGGUUUGAAUAGAUCCUGUAAAAAAUGUCCCAGACAUCUCUAAACACAUCUCCCUCUGGUGCUGCUUCCAUUACACGCAGAGAAUUUGGUACUACAUUAUCAACUUAAUAAUGGUUUUGGGGAAGGAGAAUAAAUUUUGCAGCCAAGAGUAGUUUUCCUAAGUUUGUUUUCCUACUGUAGCUCCCUGCAUCCUCAGUUGUGUUUGUGAAAAAGCAUUUUUGUUUGCAUGGAAAAACAAACCACAGGAGUUUUCUCAUCUGUCAUCCCUCUGUUUCUGCAAGAACACACAUGUCCUUGGUGAGAGCCCUGAUCGCCAGCUGGCUGGGCUUCAACGGCAGUGCCAUAUGUCGAAGAGGAGCAGUCUGCAGACCAUGAGCGGUCAGCAGUCAGUGCGAACAGUUAACAAAUGAUCCAUAGGACUGCUUUGGCGCACCCACGGUGAAUCCAGCACCCAGCUAAGGCAUUCUACUGGUGUUGGGACGGUUGAUUCAAGCUCAUAAAUUACUUGCAAUUAGUUCAGAGAUAAUUCAAUGUUGG